rnacentral:rRNA from 1 species
AUGAGUAAAGGUGCGAUCAUCGGCGCGUCGACCGUCCUGGUGGUGGCGGUCGUCGCCGCCGUGUGCGUCGUGUCGUUCAAGGGCAACGGCAGCGACAAGGGCGAUGGGGAGCUCACCACCUCCGUCAAGUCCGUGAAGGCCUUCUGCCAGCCCAUGGACUACAAAGAGACGUGCGAGACGGAGCUGACCAAGGUGGGCGGCAACGCCACGUCGCCGACGGAGCUCGCCAAGGCCAUCUUCGAGGUCACCUCGGAGAAGAUCAGGAAGGCCAUCAGCGAGUCGGCCACCCUGGAGGAGCUCAAGAGCGACCCACGCACGUCGGGGGCCCUCGAGAACUGCAAGGAGCUGCUGGAGUACGCCAUCGAGGACCUCAAGACCACCUUCGACCGCCUCGGCGGCUUCGAGAUGACCGACUUCAACAAAGCCGCCGCCGACCUCAAGACCUGGCUCAGCGCCGCGCUCACCUACCAGGAGACGUGCCUCGACGGCUUCGCCAACACCACCACCGACGCCGCCGCCAAGAUGCGCGGCGCGCUCAACGCCUCCCAGGAGCUCACCGAGGACAUCCUCGCCGUGGUCGACCAGUUCUCCGCCUCCCUCGGCAGCCUCAACAUCGGGAAGAGGAGGCUGCUAGGGGAGGAGGACGGCAUGCCUUACUGGAUGAACGACGGGAAGAGGCGGCUGCUGGAGGCCGAGCCCUCCGCACCGGAGUUCAAGCCCAACGUCACCGUCGCCGCUGACGGCAGCGGCGACUUCAAGACCAUCAAGGAGGCGCUCGCAAAGGUGCCGCCCAAGAGCGCCUCCAUGUACGUCAUGUACAUCAAGGCCGGCACCUACAAGGAGUACGUCUCCGUGGGCCGCCCUAUCACCAACCUCGUCGUCAUCGGCGACGGCGACGACAAGACCAUCAUCACCGGCAACAAGAACUUCAAGAUGAACAUCACCACCAAGGACACCGCAACCAUGGAGGCAAUCGGGAACGGCUUCUUCAUGAAGGGCGUGAGGGUGGAGAACACGGCGGGGGCCGAGAACCACCAGGCCGUGGCACUGCGGGUGCAGAGCGACCAGGCCGUCUUCUACCAGUGCUACUUCGACGGGUACCAAGACACGCUCUACACCCACGCGCAACGGCAGUUCUUCCGCGACUGCACCGUCACCGGCACCAUCGACUUCAUCUUCGGCAACUCCCAGGUGGUCAUCCAGAACUGCCUCAUCCUGCCGCGCAAGCCCAUGGACAACCAGCUCAACAUCAUCACCGCGCAAGGGCGGCGCGAGAAGCGCUCCGUCGGGGGCACCGUCAUGCACAACAACACCAUCGAGCCGCACCCGGACUUCAAGGACUCGACGGGCAAGAUCAAGACCUACCUGGCGCGGCCAUGGAAGGAGUACUCUAGGACCAUCUACAUCCAGAACGAGAUCGGCGCCUUCAUCGACCCCAAGGGCUGGCUCGAGUGGAACGGCGACUUCGCCCUCGAGACCCUCUUCUACGCCGAGGUGGAGAACACCGGGCCCGGCGCCGAUAUGAGCCAGCGCGCCAAGUGGGGCGGCAUCAAGACUGUCACCUACGCUGACGCACAAAAGGAGUACACCGUCGAGGCCUUCAUCCAGGGCGAGCAGUUCAUCCCCAAGUACGGCGUGCCCUACAUCCCGGGGCUCCUCCCGCAGUCGGAGGCGGGGAGGGAUCAUUAA